rnacentral:rRNA from 1 species
AUUGAACGCUGGCGGCAGGCUUAACACAUGCAAGUCGAACGAGUGGCGGACGGGUGAGUAAUGUAUGGGGACUGCCCGAUAGAGGGGGAUAACUACUGGCAACGGUAGCUAAUACCGCAUACUAUCGGCUAACCCCUAUGGGAUUAGCUAGUUGGUGAGGUAAUGGCUCAGCAAGGCGACGAUCCCUAGCUGGGCUGAGAGGAUGAUCAGCCACACGGGGACGGAGACACGGCCCAGACUCCUACGGAGGCAGCAGUGGGGAAUAUUGCACAAUGGGCGCAAGCCUGAUGCAGCGAUGCCGCGUGUAUGAAGAAGGCCCUAGGGUUGUAAAGUACGUUCAGUCGGGAGGCGGUAGCGACAGAAGAAGCACCGGCUAACUCCGUGCCAGCAGCCGCGGUAAUAC